UCCUACGGGACGCAGCAGUGGGGGAUAUUGCACAAUGGGGGGAACCCUGAUGCAGCGACGCCGCGUGGGUGAAGAAGCGCCUCGGCGCGUAAAGCCCUGUCAGCAGGGAAGAAAAUGACGGUACCUGAAGAAGAAGCCCCGGCUAACUGCGUGCCAGCAGCCGCGGUAAUACGUAGGGGGCAAGCGUUAUCCGGAUUUACUGGGUGUAAAGGGAGCGUAGGCGGUUUAGCAAGUCAGAAGUGAAAGCCCGGGGCUCAACUCCGGGACUGCUUUUGAAACUGUUUCCCUUGAGUGUCGGAGAGGUA
rnacentral:rRNA from 1 species